UGCAAUAUGCGAGGGUUAUAUAAUCCUAAUCUGGUUUAUGCCGUCCUGUAUAUUGUAUAUACAACCAGAUUACAACAGUUUAAUUACUAUACUAGAACAGCCUCAAACGCCGGGAACCAGCGUAGAUUUUUAAACCAAUUUCUAAAUACGCCAUUUUGGAAUUCAUCUGAAUUAUAACUGUAAACACACGCAUUUACAGGGUUUUUUUUAAUUCAAAAUAGUACGUAUACAGAAAAUAUUGUAUGCAAGCAGUUAAACUGGGAGCAAUUUUAUGCUUAACAGAACAUGCAUAAGCCUACAGUUUUGAAUCCAAGAUUUACCCUGUCAGAUGGAUUUAAUGUUUGACCUCAGCGGUAGAUUGUUUAAUUUAAUUUCUAUGCAGAGAGAAUCAAUAUACAUUUCAAUAACAGGCUGUGAAGAGAAGUCUGAAAAAUUACUCUGGAAAUCUGUUCUGUUGGACACCACAAACAAUUAUCUAAUCAUUAUGUAUGCAAUUCAUUAUAUACAAUGUC